AUUGAACGCUGGCGGCAUGCCUUACACAUGCAAGUCGAACGGCAGCACGGGUGCUUGCACCUGGUGGCGAGUGGCGAACGGGUGAGUAAUACAUCGGAACAUGUCCUGUAGUGGGGGAUAGCCCGGCGAAAGCCGGAUUAAUACCGCAUACGAUCUACGGAUGAAAGCGGGGGACCUUCGGGCCUCGCGCUAUAGGGUUGGCCGAUGGCUGAUUAGCUAGUUGGUGGGGUAAAGGCCUACCAAGGCGACGAUCAGUAGCUGGUCUGAGAGGACGACCAGCCACACUGGGACUGAGACACGGCCCAGACUCCUACGGGAGGCAGCAGUGGGGAAUUUUGGACAAUGGGCGAAAGCCUGAUCCAGCUAUGCCGCGUGUGUGAAGAAGGCCUUCGGGUUGUAAAGCACUUUUGUCCGGAAAGAAAUCCUUGGCUCUAAUACAGUCGGGGGAUGACGGUACCGGAAGAAUAAGCACCGGCUAACUACGUG
rnacentral:rRNA from 1 species